GCUCAAUUCACUUAGUAUAAUAUUAACUUUUACUUAUACAGCCUAGAAGAGUACACCAAGCAUUUCAUACCCAUUAUCCCUUACUAUCUUCACAACAGCAUAUUGCAUUCGGUAAGGCAGGAAUUGUAUUGCCCAUUCAUUGCAGCUCAGGAAAAUGAAGCAAAUAUAAGUUAUAAGAUAAUCAGUGGCUACAUAGGUCGCAGCAG